AUGGAUCACAAUCUUAAGAUUAUCUUCUGGAAUGUGCACGGCUUAAACUCCGGUGCUAAACGUACGACCGUCCGCAACGUGAUCUCCGCUGCUCCCCCCACCAUUUUGUGCUUGCAAGAAACUAAACUUGCCCACAUCUCAGACUCCAUGGUCCUCGACACCCUCGGACCUUCUUUUGAGGACUUCUUCUACCUCCCAGCCUCUGGCACACGCGGUGGCGUGGUCCUCGCUUGGCACAGAUCGCAAGUCUCCCUCUCUAACUCUCUGAUUGGAGAACAUCAUAUCACUGCCCUUGUUACCCCCAUCAGCGGCAGCGGGCAUUGGUGGCUCACCGGCGUGUAUGGCCCCAGGACAAAGAGGCAAAGCUUGACUUCUUAG
rnacentral:rRNA from 1 species